rnacentral:tRNA from 1 species
GGGCUGUUAGCUCAGUUGGUAGAGCACCGGACUUUUAAUCCGAUGGUCACAGGUUCAAUUCCUGUACAGCCCACCA